UCUGGGUAUUAAAACCAAGUUAAAACAUCUUUCCAGGAUUGUUAUUGUUCUGUAUCAAACGACAUGGAAUUCAUAGUGUGGCUACUGUGUUGUGAAUUUCCUGUCCUAUCGACAAUAGGUGUAGCAUCUGCGUAUGACAACGUUGCAUUAGGUAAGCCUGCAUGGCAACAGUAUCCAUUUUUCUAAAGUAAACUGGGGAGCAGAUAAAGCGGUGGAUGGGAAGUAUUCUAUCCGGACAGCCCAAGGAGGACAGUGUACGAUCUCUGACAAUUUUAAAACAACAGCAACCUGGCGGGUAGAUUUAGGAGACGUUCUCAGUAUACACCAUAUAACGAUAUACUACAGGACGGAUAAUAUAGUAUGGGACGCAAGGAACGGACACAUACCCCGAUUCCUUGGAUUCUCUCUUUACGUAUCAAACACGACCAACAAAGACGAGGGGAUUCUAUGUUUUAAGGAUACAAAGUACACAAGGGCCACAAUGCCGGAUAAUGUAACCAUAGAAUGUGUAACACAUGGACGUUACGUCAUCUACUACAAUGAGAGACUCCCAGGAGUUACCUACCCUGCGGAAUAUUCUCGA